AGUGAACGCUGGCGGUAGGCCUAACACAUGCAAGUCGAACGGCAGCACAGUAAGAGCUUGCUCUUACGGGUGGCGAGUGGCGGACGGGUGAGGAAUACAUCGGAAUCUACUUUUUCGUGGGGGAUAACGUAGGGAAACUUACGCUAAUACCGCAUACGACCUACGGGUGAAAGCAGGGGAUCUUCGGACCUUGCGCGAUUGAAUGAGCCGAUGUCGGAUUAGCUCGUUGGCGGGGUAAAGGCCCACCAAGGCGACGAUCCGUAGCUGGUCUGAGAGGAUGAUCAGCCACACUGGAACAGAGACACGGUCCAGACUCCUACGGGAGGCAGCAGUGGGGAAUAUUGUGCAAUGGGCGCAAGACUGAUCCAGCCAUACCGCGUGGGUGAAGAAGGCCUUCGGGUUGUAAAGCCCUUUUGUUGGGAAAGAAAAGCAGCAGGUUAAUACCCCGCUGCUCUGACGGUGCCCAAAGAAUAAGCACCGGCUAACUUCGUG
rnacentral:rRNA from 1 species